rnacentral:rRNA from 1 species
UACUGCAUUUUUUCUUACACAUGUGUUUUUCUUUUUGAAAACUUUGCUUUGGUAGGCCUUUUAUAUGGGGCCUGCCAGAGAUUAAACUCAACCAAAUUUUAUUUAAUGUCAACCGAUUAUUUAAUAGUCAAAACUUUCAACAACGGAUCUCUUGGUUCUCGCAUCGAUGAAGAACGCAGCGAAAUGCGAUAAGUAAUAUGAAUUGCAGAUAUUCGUGAAUCAUCGAAUCUUUGAACGCACAUUGCGCCCUUUGGUAUUCCAAAGGGCAUGCCUGUUUGAGCGUCAUUUCUCCCUCAAACCCUCGGGUUUGGUGUUGAGCGAUACGCUGGGUUUGCUUGAAAGAAAGGCGGAGUAUAAACUAAUGGAUAGGUUUUUUCCACUCAUUGGUACAAACUCCAAAACUUCUUCCAAAUUCGACCUCAAAUCAGGUAGGACUACCCGCUGAACUUAAGCAUAUCAAUAAGGGAGG